rnacentral:rRNA from 1 species
GACGAACGCUGGCGGCGUGCUUAACACAUGCAAGUCGAACGGAAAGGCCCUGCUUUUGUGGGGUGCUCGAGUGGCGAACGGGUGAGUAACACGUGAGUAACCUGCCCUUGACUUUGGGAUAACUUCAGGAAACUGGGGCUCAUACCGGAUAGGAGCUCCUGCUGCAUGGGGGGGGUUGGAAAGUUUCGGCGUUUGGGGCUAGACUCGCGGCUUAUCAGCUUGUUGGUGUGGUAGUGGCUUUCCAAGGCUUUGACGGGUAGCCGGCCUGAGAGGGGGACCGGCCACAAGGGGCCUGCGAGACGGCGCAGACGCCUACGGGAGGCAGCAGGGGGGAAUAUUGCAGAGUGGGCGGAAGCCAGAGGCAGCAACGCCGCGUGCGGGAUGACGGCCUUCGGGGUGUAAACCGCUGUGGAAUGUGACGAAGCGUGAGUGACGGUAAUGGGUAAAGAAGCACCGGCUAACUACGUG